rnacentral:rRNA from 1 species
AUUGAACGCUGGCGGCGUGCUUUACACAUGCAAGUCGGGCGGCAGCAUGGUCUUCGGACUGAUGGCGAGCGGCGAACGGGUGAGUAAUACAUCGAAACAUACCUUUUAGUGGGGGACAACCGCUCGAAAGAUGGGCUAAUAACGCAUAAUAUCUGAGGAGGAAAGCUGGGGACUCGCCAGGGACUGGCGCGGAAAGAGUGGGCGAUGGUGGAUUAGUUAGUUGGUGAGGUAAAGGCUUACCAAGGCGAUGAUCGAUAGCUGUUCUGAGAGGAAGAUCAGCCACACGGGAACUGAGCCACGGUCCAGACUCCUACGGGAGGCAGCAGUGGGGAAUUUUGGACAAUGGGGGCAACCCUGAUCCAGCAACGCCGCGUGAAUGAAGAAGGCCUUAGGGUUGUAAAGUUCUUUUGUCUGGGAGCAAAUUGAGUAUGUGAAUAGCAUAUUUAGAUGAGAGUACCAGAAGAAUAGGCACCGGCUAACUACGUACCAGCCGCCGCCGUAACAC